rnacentral:rRNA from 1 species
GGGUUGUGAGGUUAAGCGACUAAGCGUACACGGUGGAUGCCCUGGCAGUCAGAGGCGAUGAAGGACGUGCUAAUCUGCGAUAAGCGUCGGUAAGGUGAUAUGAACCGUUAUAACCGGCGAUUUCCGAAUGGGGAAACCCAGUGUGUUUCGACACACUAUCAUUAACUGAAUCCAUAGGUUAAUGAGGCGAACCGGGGGAACUGAAACAUCUAAGUACCCCGAGGAAAAGAAAUCAACCGAGAUUCCCCCAGUAGCGGCGAGCGAACGGGGAGGAGCCCAGAGUCUGAAUCAGUGUGUGUGUUAGUGGAAGCGUCUGGAAAGGCGCGCGAUACAGGGUGACAGCCCCGUACACAAAAAUGCACAUACUGUGAGCUCGAUGAGUAGGGCGGGACACGUGGUAUCCUGUCUGAAUAUGGGGGGACCAUCCUCCAAGGCUAAAUACUCCUGACUGACCGAUAGUGAACCAGUACCGUGAGGGAAAGGCGAAAAGAAC